AUUCAAAAAUUCGCAUUCCGAUCGGUGGAGCACUCCGCUACAAGAGAUUGGAUGCGUCCAUUUUGCAAUCUCUUUCACUUGGUGUGAAUACUCGGACGAUCGAUUUGAGGAACUCGAAUACGAAUUCGAACGGACUUCCCUUGGAGCUUGGGGAAGCAGAGGUGAAUUCCUCGCAUGGUUUCUCGUGUGAACAGAGCAAAACCGUGGUCUGUUUUUCCGCUGCGGAUGACGAAUGUCGCGAUGAAGUGCGCGCGUAUGCAGUUCCGUGAGGAAGCCGUGUGAUCCUAGCUAAGCUGACAAUUAAGUCGGUGGUCUAUCUCGCGAGGAUAUGACGUCAGGUUUCCUGCCGGCGGUCUAAUUUGGUUCGUGCAAAAAUGAGAUAAUUGAAGGAAACUACCAAGAGUCGCUCGCUGAAAAUAAACGCGCAAGCGAAUGGGAUCACAGAAUCGAAUCAAUGUAAGCUUUGAAACAGUUUUUUUUUUUUUCAAACG